UACGAAGGGUGCAAACGUUGCUCGGAAUUAUUGGGCGUAAAGCGCACGUAGGCGGCUUGGCAAGUCGGAUGUGAAAUCCCACGGCUCAACCGUGGACGUGCAUCCGAAACUGCUCGGCUCGAGUAUGGAAGAGGGUCGCGGAAUUCCCGGUGUAGAGGUGAAAUUCGUAGAUAUCGGGAGGAACACCAGUGGCGAAGGCGGCGACCUGGGCCAAUACUGACGCUGAGGUGCGAAAGCGUGGGGAGCAAACAGG
rnacentral:rRNA from 1 species